AAAAAAAAAAAGAAAAUGAAAAACAAGAUUUUAUUGCUCUAAUCUACGAGAAUAAGCUAUGCUGAAGUUAGUCGGAACUUACUUUACCCUCAAACAUGCAUUAGUAUUUCUUAGGAGAUUUUAUUUCCUUUUUUUGCAACUGUAAAUAGUUCUUCUUACUGAUGUCAUUGACGUCCAUCAGAGACUGCGUUUUUUUAAAAACUUUUUGUAGUGUUAUUUAACAUACUUCCUAGAUGAUUUUUAAGGUCCUUCUUAUUCUACUUUGUUAUCAUUCUGAAAUAAUGUUAGGAUUCUGCAAAAAUAAUUCAAUGAGUUAUCAAUUCUACAGAUACAGUUAUGCAGUCAAGAAAUAGUUGAGGAGAUAAAAAAAAGAAAAAUAAUUAAAAAAGAAGAAGGUUAAGGACAUAAAGAAAAAGAUAGUGGAAAUAAACUAGAGUUUAGCGUAAGAGUAGUUCUGUGGGGAAAAUUUGAGAAAUAGGUGAGACAACUCAGUAGUUAUAGAGUCAGUUUCCCGGGUGCUGAAGAUAAACAUCUAUAAAGCUCUACCUAGCUAUAAGGUGGAUAUGGAACAGGCUGAAAAGUAUUCAUUUUACUAAUUCAUGGUUUUCAUGCCCCUGCUGACUUUCUCAAGGAAAUUAAAGAGUCUGAGAACUGACAUAAAUUAUGCUUAAACCUUAGGAGUCAACAGAUCUAGACUGAAGAGAACUAGCUUUCAUCUGGGUAACAAUGGAUAUUUUCACCUUUGAUUAUCUCACUGCACCACCCUUUAUAAAAUGAUAGACUUUGCCCAGCAAUUGUGACUUCAAAUUUUGCAGUCAGACUAGGUCAGUGAAAUCUUUUAUUCUGAUAUCUCUUCCAUAUGAACAGCUCUUUUUUUUUUUUCUUUUUUUCUUUUUUUUUUUUUCUCCCAGUAAGUAUCCAGAGCUGUCUACUCUUACUUGGAUUACUUAUUCAUGGUACUGUAUUUCUUACACUCAGUAGUGGCUAAAAUAAAUAUUCUGAAGGUGACUUGUGUGUCUAAAUGAAAGCAUGCAUCAGAUCCUCAUAACGUUUAGGUAUGGAGGUUAUGCUGUGCAUACCUGUAUGGGAACUGCUGAGUCAUAGCCUGAACUUCUGAUUGAUCACCUGAGGUGGGCAGUGAGUCCGCCAGAGGAGCACAGGUGAAGGCAAUUCCUAGACCUAUUGAAGAGCUGGCAACCAGUGGGGAAGGAUCUCUUCUGGAGACCUGCUCUGCUGGUGUUUUGUGAGUGAGCCCAGGAUAGAGUUGACAGUUCAAGCUCCAAGAGCACCAGCCACUGUUGGAGUUGUUUCAGUGAGAAGUUCACACGGAAGCAGCUCUAAGGGUGUGGAAACUACAGUAGCAAAGUAACUUACUUGGAGUAAACAUAAACCUAGCAGUUACUUGCUCUGCUACAGUAAGGGAAAAAGUAGACAGAGUCUCUGGAUUGGCUUUGCUACGCUGUUACCUAUUUGCAACAUUCCAUGCUACUUUGAGGCAGAAACUUUUCAUAAGCAAGUAAAGACCAAAAGGAGGCAGGCAAGAGCUACCAUCCUCAAAAGAUGCACUGCUUGGGAGCAGUCCUUACUUCUGGUAAUGGACUGUUGGAUACAGCAUUGUAAUUUGAAGUCAGUUCAAUUUGAAGUUCAGUUCAUUGUAAAACAGAAGUCAGCACAUGUGGUAACUGAUGUUUGCUAGAGAGAUAACAAUAAAUCAUCCUUGAAUCAAUUCUAAUGUUCUGAAGACUAUAAAUGUUAUGGGUUUAUCAGUAUGUUAAGUCUAGUGCUACAGAGGCACACUGCAUUUUGGAAGUUGUAAGAUU